GAGUUUGAUCGUGGCUCAGAUUGAACGCUGGCGGCAUGCUUUUACACAUGCAAGUCGAGCGGCAGCGGCGGGGGCAACCCUGGCGGCGAGCGGCGAACGGGUGAGUAAUGGAUAGGAACGUGUCCGGGAGGUGGGGGAUAACUAGCCGAAAGGUUAGCUAAUACCGCAUAUUCUGUGCGCAGGAAAGCGGGGGACCUGAAAGGGCCUCGCGCUCGCGGAGUGGCCUAUCUCCGAUUAGCUAGUUGGUGAGGUAAAGGCUUACCAAGGCGACGAUCGGUAGCUGGUCUGAGAGGAUGAUCAGCCACACUGGGACUGAGACACGGCCCAGACUCCUACGGGAGGCAGCAGUGGGAAUUUUGGACAAUGGGGGCAACCCUGAUCCAGCCAUGCCGCGUGCGGGAAGAAGGCCUUCGGUU
rnacentral:rRNA from 1 species